rnacentral:rRNA from 1 species
AACGAACGCUGGCGGCAUGCCUAACACAUGAAAGUCGAACGAAGGCUUCGGCCUUAGUGGCGCACGGGUGCGUAACGCGUGGGAAUCUGCCCUUGGCUUCGGAAUAACAGUUAGAAAUGCCUGCUAAUACCGGAUGAUGUCGCAAGACCAAAGAUUUAUCGGCAAAGGAUGAGCCCGCGUAGGAUUAGCUAGUUGGUGGGGUAAAGGCCUACCAAGGCGACGAUCCUUAGCUGGUCUGAGAGGAUGAUCAGCCACACUGGGACUGAGACACGGCCCAGACUCCUACGGGAGGCAGCAGUGGGGAAUAUUGGACAAUGGGCGAAAGCCUGAUCCAGCAAUGCCGCGUGAGUGAUGAAGGCCUUAGGGUUGUAAAGCUCUUUUACCCGGGAUGAUAAUGACAGUACCGGGAGAAUAAGCUCCGGCUAACUCCGU